rnacentral:rRNA from 1 species
CGGUAAUUCCAGCUCCAAUAGCGUAUACUAAUGUUGUUGCAGUUAAAAAGCUCGUAGUCGGAUUUCAGGAUUAGUUGUCGCCCUAUUACUGGGUUGUACUUCUACCCUUCCUAACGAACAGCUAUCAUUUCAUUUAUUUGAUGUGGUAGUCUAUCGUUUCUUUUACUUUGAGAAAAUUAGAGUGUUCAAAGCAGGCUUCUGCCCGAAUAUUACUCUUGGAAUAAUACUAUAGGACCUUGGACUUAUUUGAUGGUGAGUAGGACUGAGGUAAUGAUUGAUAAGGACGGUUGGGGUCAUUCGUACUGUAAAGCGAGCGGUGAAAUGCUUGGACCUUUAUAUGACGACCUACUGCGAAAGCAUUUGACUAGGACGUUCCCGUUGAUCAAGAACGAAAGUUGGGGGAUCGAAGACGAUCAGAUACCGUCGUAGUCUCAACCAUAAACUAUGCCAGCUAGGGAUUGGAAGUCGAUCUUAUUUAUGACACUUUCAGCACCUUAUGAGAAAUCAAAGCAUUUGGGUUCCGGGGGGAGUAUGGUCGCAAGGCUGAAACUUAAAGGAAUUGACGGGAGGGCACCACCAAGAGUGGAGCCUGCGGCUUAAUUUGAUUCAACACGGGAAAACUUACCAGGUCCGGACAAAGUAAGGAUUGACAGAUUGAAAGCUCUUUCUUGAUUCUUUGGGUGGUGGUGCAUGGCCGUUCUUAGUUGGUGGAGUGAUUUGUCUGGUUAAUUCCGUUAACGAACGAGACCUCAGCCUGCUAAAUAGUACUGUCAUUCUUGAAUGGCAGCGACUUCUUAGAGGGACUACUUAUGCUAUAACUGAGCGGAAGCUUGAGGCAAUAACAGGUCUGUGAUGCCCUUAGAUGUUCUGGGCCGCACGCGGGCUACACUGGUGAUCUCAACAAGCCUUCACUUGGUUGAAAAGCCAGGUUAAUCUUUGAAAUAUCACCGUGCUUGGGAUAGACUAUUGCAAUUUUUAGUCUUCAACGAGGAAUUCCUAGUAAACGUGAGUCAUCAGCUCACAUUGAUUACGUCCCUGCCCUUUGUACACACCGCCCGUCGCUCCUACCGAUUGGAUGAUUCGGUAAGCAUUUGAGAUCUAGUCUGACUUUCCUAACGGAGCUUCUGACCGGAGAACUUAUUCAAACCUAAUCAUCUAGAGGAAGGAGAAGUCGUAACAAGG